ACGACCUUACUUGAACAUGAUUUAUUCUAUAGGUUGUACAUCUUAGUCUGCGUAGAUUCCUAUAUAGACCAUCAUACAAAUCCGGAAAAUGAACUAUGGCUCUCAGGACAGAGCGUGAAUACUUUGAUUCUUGGGACUUCCCUCCCACCCGUCUCUCAAUGAACAUCCCGUCUUUGACAUUUCCAGUUCCACACGGUGAAGGCCUGAGAGCAUUCUGACGGAUC
rfam:Picea glauca, whole genome shotgun sequence.